CUUCAGUUGAUCGGUCUCUCUCUCUCUCUCUCCUCCGCCCCGCGCCGAGAAGGAGCAAAACCUUGGGGUUUGCAGAAUUUAUAUUUGAAGAAGUGUCUGAGUGAGGAAUGUACAUCUUGGGAAAUGGACUUGCUGUCUCUGAACAUCAGCUGGAGAGGAUUCUCAAAUAAGAGAAUUGCUAAAAGAAAGUGUAACAGAGGACCCCAAACUUCUUUCUCUCUCUGCCCAUGACAUCCACAAUGCCUGAAGGAAAAGGAAAGGAGCAUUGAACUGCAGGAUGAGUCCUGGCUGGAAAGCAUCCAGCUAAUAAGACUGCAAGAGAACAUGUGGUGAGAGAGACACUUUGCUUUGAAUUCACUUAGCCUGUUCAGUUAGAUAUUAGUUCAUUUUUUACCUUUUAUUUUCUUGUAACCAAAUUCUGACUUUUAUGCCUCAUUACUUGUAAUCACUUGAAGUCUUUCUCUGUAGUUAAUACACUUGUUUUAUUGUUUUA